ACCCUUCCUCUUAUUUCUCCAACACAUGGCUGCUCUCUUCCUCGCUACUUUCUAAUGUUUCUGUCAAUAUCAACGGCGGUUGGUCGGCCUGGAAAAUCAGAGGGAGAGAACGAUUCGAAUGAUGGAAGUGCUCACUGUAUAAAUAGCUUCAAUUACUCAUCUUCUCUUUUUCUUUAUUAUUCCCGUCGUUCUUUACUUCCGAUUAGGCAUAGAUACUGUGGUUUGUCAAUGACUGCUCUUUGAACAAUAAAUAUGCAGAUGGCAUUAUAGAGAUGGGGCUAAUUUGGAUUCAUGAAACAACAGUAGGACUUCCAACUACAGAUGAUACGGGUAAUAUUGAAGUUGGUUGAUUGGUUUGCGUUGUAAUCCAACCUUUUCAACAUUUUGUUGAGUACUUUGAAUUUGAUUGUAUAUAAUGCCUUAAGUAUAUGACUACUCUGUCUUAAGUGCAAUUGUUUAAUUAAGCAAUGGCAGAUGAUACAGAAACUAGUUUGUUUGCAUUGAGGUCAUGAUUUGUUGCAAUUGGAAUGAUGGAGCUUUAAAGUUUAAACAAUAUUAAAAUUUUUAAUUCCUUAUUUAA